UAAGGAAUAUUGGUCAAUGGACGCAAGUCUGAACCAGCCAUGCCGCGUGAAGGAUGAAGGUCCUCUGGAUUGUAAACUUCUUUUAUAGGGGAAGAAACCGGAAAAUUCUUUUUCCGUUGACGGUACCCUGGGAAUAAGCACCGGCUAACCCCGUGCCAGCAGCCGCGGUAAUACGGAGGGUGCAAGCGUUAUCCGGAUUCACUGGGUUUAAAGGGUGCGUAGGUGGGUCUGUAAGUCAGUGGUGAAAUCUCCAAGCUUAACUUGGAAACUGCCGUUGAUACUAUAGAUCUUGAAUGUUGUGGAGGUGAGCGGAAUAUGUCAUGUAGCGGUGAAAUGCUUAGAUAUGACAUAGAACACCAAUUGCGAAGGCAGCUCACUACACAAAUAUUGACACUGAGGCACGAAAGCGUGGGGAUCAAAC
rnacentral:rRNA from 1 species